CCUACGGGAGGCUUCAGUGAGGAAUAUUGGUCAAUGGGCUUACGCCUGAACCAGCCAAGUCGCGUGAGGGAAGACUGCCCUAUGGGUUGUAAACCUCUUUUGUCAGGGAGCAAUUGGCGCUACGUGUAGCGUUAUCGAGAGUACCUGAAGAAAAAGCAUCGGCUAACUCCGUGCCAGCAGCCGCGGUAAUACGGAGGAUGCGAGCGUUAUCCGGAUUUAUUGGGUUUAAAGGGUGCGUAGGCGGAAUGCCAAGUCAGCGGUAAAAUCGCGGGGCUCAACCUCGCUCCGCCGUUGAAACUGGCGUGCUUGAGUGGGCGAGAAGUAUGCGGAAUGCGUGGUGUAGCGGUGAAAUGCAUAGAUAUCACGCAGAACUCCGAUUGCGAAGGCAGCAUACCGGCGCCCAACUGACGCUGAAGCACGAAAGCGUGGGUAUCGAACAGGAUUAGAUACCCCUGUAGUC
rnacentral:rRNA from 1 species